rnacentral:rRNA from 1 species
UACGGAAGGCAGCAGUGGGGAAUAUUGCACAAUGGGCGAAAGCCUGAUGCAGCUAUGCCGCGUGUAUGAAGAAGGCCUUAGGGUUGUAAAGUACUUUCAUCGGGGAGGAAAAAAACAAAACUAAUAAUUUUAUUUCUUGACGUUACCCGAAAAAGAAGCACCGGCUAACUCCGUGCCAGCAGCCGCGGUAAUACGGAGGGUGCUAGCGUUAAUCAGAAUUACUGGGCGUAAAGAGCACGUAGGUGGUUUUUUAAGUCAGAUGUGAAAUCCCUGGGCUUAACCUAGGAACUGCAUUUUGAAACUGAAAUACUAGAGUAUCGUAGAGGGAGGUAGAAUUCUAGGUGUAGCGGUGAAAUGCGUAGAUAUCUGGAGGAAUACCUGUGGCGAAAGCGGCCUCCUAAACGAAUACUGACACUGAGGUGCGAAAGCGUGGGGAGCAAAACAGGGAUUAGAUACC